rnacentral:rRNA from 1 species
GACGAACGCUGGCGGCGUGCUUAACACAUGCAAGUCGAGCGGAGCGGCGAACGGGGGAGUAACGCGUGAGUAACUGACCCCCUCGCUGGGAUAAGAGUUGGAAACGGCUGCUAAUACCGGAUAGUGGGGGAUGACUCGCGUCCUAUCAGGUUGUUGGUGGGGUAGUGGCGUACCAAGGCGACGACGGGUAGCCGGCCUGGGGGGGGGACCGGCCACAAUGGGCUGCGGUAGGCCGCAAACGCCUACGUUGGGCAGCAGUGGGGAAUCUUGCCCAAUCGGGGAGCCCCUGUGGCGGAGACGCCGCGUGCGGGAUGACGGCCUUCGGGUUGUAAACCGCUUUCAGCCAUGACGCGUUAGUGGCAGAAGAAGCACCGGCUAACUACGUGCCAGCAGCCGCGGUAAUUC